rnacentral:rRNA from 1 species
AUACAUCCAGUCUUCCAUAUAUCCCAGCUAAAACCAUUCACUCCAAACUACUCACCAGUGUUCUCUAAACUUCCCAGCACAGUGGAUCUAACGACAGUGGAUACUACACCUGUGGCUAUCUUGGACAGGCGGGUGAUGAAACAAGACAAUGCUUCCGUGGUUCAGCUCGAUGUGCAGUGGGACAAACCAGCAACAACGACGACAUGGGAGGAUUACGAUGUUCUCCAUCGACGCUUUCCAGAUGCUUCAAUCAGGAACCAUCAAGACUCGAGCGAGGACGCUCGUUCUGAAGACAGGGAGAGUGUCACACCAGCCACGAUGUGA